CCUGGUUGAUCUUGCCAGUAGUCAUAUGCUUGUCUCACAGAUUAAGCCAUGCAAGUGAAAGUACAUAUGUAAGUAAUAUAUUGAAACUGCGAACGGCUCAUUAAAACAGUUAUAAUCUACUUGAUGUUUUUAAUAUAAGGAUAACUACGGAAAAUCUGUAGCUAAUACUUGUGAAAAUACCUUUUGAUAUAUACAUAUGUAUGUAUCAUUAAGGUAUGUAUUUGUUAGAUAUAAGAAUAAAAUAAAUAUAAUUGAAUUAUAACAAAGAAGAAACACAUAAAAUAUGUGUAUUAUCAAUCGAGUAUCUGACCUAUCAGCUUUUGAUGUUAGGGUAUUGACCUAACAUGGCUAUGACGGGUAACGGGGAAUUAGAGUUCGAUUCCGGAGAGGGAGCCUGAGAAAUAGCUACCACAUCUAAGGAAGGCAGCAGGCGCGUAAAUUACCCAAUUCUAAAAAAGAGAGGUAGUGACAAGAAAUAACAAUACAAUAUCGAAAAAUGAUUUUGUAAUUGGAAUGAUAGGAAUUUACAAGGUUCCUAGAGAAACAAUUGGAGGGCAAGUCUGGUGCCAGCAGCCGCGGUAAUUCCAGCUCCAAUAGCAUAUAUUAAAAUUGUUGCAGUUAAAACGUUCGUAGUUGAAUAUUAAAGAAUCCGAUGUUUCAUUUAAACUGGUUUGGGAAAACCAAAUAUAUUAUAUAUUUUGCUUUGUUCAAAAUAAGGUUUUCUAAUAAAUUAUGUUUUUAUCAGAUAUGACAGAAUCUUUUUUAAAAUCUCUUCAAUAUGCUUUUAUUGCUUUUGAGAGGUUUUGUUACUUUGAGUAAAAUUAAGUGUUCAUAACAGACGGGUAGUCAUGAUUGAGUUCAUUGUGUUUGAAUACUACAGCAUGGAAUAACAAAUAUGAAUAAGCUAAUUAUUUUUUUUUUUUCAUAAUUUUUUUUGAUAUUCUUAUUAGCUUAGUUACGAUUAAUAGGAGUAGCUUUGGGGGCAUUCGUAUUCAGAUGUCAGAGGUGAAAUUCUAAGAUUUUCUGGAGACGGACUACUGCGAAAGCAUUUGCCUAAUCUAUUUCCAUUAAUCAAGAACGAAAGUUAAGGGAGUGAAGACGAUCAGAUACCGUCGUAAUCUUAACCAUAAACUAUACCGACUAGGUGUUGGAUGAAUAUAAAAAAUAUAUAAAUAUGUAGCAUUUCUUAGGGAAUGUUGAUUUUAUAUUAGAAUUGCUUCCUUCAGUACCUUAUGAGAAAUCAAAGUCUUUGGGUUCUGGGGCGAGUAUUCGCGCAAGCGAGAAAGUUAAAAGAAUUGACGGAAGGGCACCACCAGGCGUGGAGCUUGCGGCUUAAUUUGACUCAACACGGGAAAACUCACUAGUUUAAGACAAGAGUAGGAUUGACAGAUUAAUAGCUCUUUCUUGAUUUCUUGGAUGGUGAUGCAUGGCCGUUUUUAGUUCGUGAAUAUGAUUUGUCUGGUUAAUUCCGAUAACGAACGAGAUCUUAACCUGCUAAUUAGCGGUAAGUACACUAUAUUUUUAUUUGAAAUUGAAUAUAGGUAAUUAUACAUGUUUAUUCAGUGUUCAAAUUAGGAUAUUUUUUUUAUUAAAAUAUUCUUUUCCCUGUUCUACUAUAAUAAUUUGUUUUUUUUUACUCUAUUUCUCUCUUCUUUUAAGAAUGUACUUGCUUGAUUAAAUAAAGCUUCUUAGAGGAACAGUGUGUAUCUAACACAAGGAAGUUUAAGGCAACAACAGGUCUGUGAUGUCCUUAGAUAAACUAGGCUGCACGCGUGCUACAAUGAUAUAUAUAACAAGUUGUUAAAAAUGUACUUAUAAAUAAGUGUGUACAAUUUUUCCUGUACUGAAAAGUAUAGGUAAUCUUUAUCAGUAUAUAUCGUAAUUGGGAUAGAUUAUUGCAAUUAUUAAUCUUGAACGAGGAAUGCCUAGUAAGCAUGAUUCAUUAGAUUGUGCUGACUACGUCCCUGCCCUUUGUACACACCGCCCGUCGCUCCUACCGAUUGAAAGAUAUGAUAAAUUGUUUGGAUAUGAAUUAAAAUAAUGAAAUUUUAUAUUUCUGAUUUUUUCUAGAAGAACUGUAAAUCCUAUCUUUUAAAGGAAGGAGAAGUCGUAACAAGGUUUCCGUAGGUGAACCUGCGGAAG
rnacentral:rRNA from 1 species